rnacentral:lncRNA from 1 species
GGGCUCCUGCGUUUAGAGUGGAAGUACCGCGCGCGAGCUGUCUGGGUCAGUCAACACAACCCGAGACACAAGUUUAUGUCAAAAACGUGGAUGUUCAGAAUUAUGCAUCAUCACUACAGGGAGAGGUCGAGAGGAAACAUUUUAAGGAAUACAUUUGCAUUAUCUGUGGAUUAUUUUCACUUGUCCGUUUCUUAAUUUAUUUCACUCAAGUCCAUGACAGGAGAGCUCGAUCAGCACCGAAAAGAUGGCAAACGGUGGAGAAGUCUGGAGUCCUGCAUGGCCGCACCUGCCCGAUGUCACCUGAGGAACUGGAAGGUGAUGCUGCUUGUGUUUGUAUGUCUUCUGGGUCUCGUUGAUGGACAUUUCCUUCAGGAGGAGAAAGAAGAAUCCCGUCCUAGCAAGCUGAGAGCCUCUUCAACCUCUGCAGAACAUCCAGGACCGCAGAAAGCUCUAGAUGAGUGGCAGAGCAGAGCACCAUGGGCACGACUGCAUGGUCAGUAUAUCCCUGACACUGUGAGGGAAACCGGGGCUAG